GACAUUGUAGCCUAAUGGUGAAGGCAGCGAAGCAUAUGUGCUCCACGCGAUGUGUUAUGUAGGUUCGAAUCCUACCAGUGUCA